GCGCGCAUAGCGCAGUGGUAGACGGGCAUGUGCGGCCCAGAACAUUAUCGUGCACAAGCGCGCGAGUUCGAAUCCCGCAGUGCGCC